CCUACGGGUGGCAGCAGUAGGGAAUCUUUCACAAUGGGCGAAAGCCUGAUGGAGCAACGCCGCGUGCAGGAUGAAGGCCUUCGGGUUGUAAACUGCUUUUAUAAGCGAGCAAUAUGAUGGUAACUUAUGAAUAAGGAUCGGCUAACUACGUGCCAGCAGCCGCGGUCAUACGUAGGAUCCGAGCAUUAUCCGGAGUAACUGGGUGUAAAGAGUUGCGUAGGUGGCAUAAUAAGUAGCUACUGAAAUCUGGUGGCUCAACCAUUCAGACUAUUAGCUAAACUGUUAAGCUCGAGACCGUUAGGGGUAACUGGAAUGUCUAGUGUAGGAGUGAAAUCCGUAGAUAUUAGAAGGAACACCAAUAGCGUAGGCAGGUUGCUGGGACGGUUCUGACACUAAGGCACGAAAGCGUAGGGAGCAAACGGGAUUAGAUACCCGUGUAGUC
rnacentral:rRNA from 1 species